rnacentral:rRNA from 1 species
GUGUCAGCAGCCGCGGUAAUACGUAGGGGGCGAGCGUUGUCCGGAAUUACUGGGCGUAAAGGGUGCGUAGGCGGCCCUUUAAGUCGGGUGUGAAAGUCCACGGCUUAACCGUGGGAUUGCACUCGAAACUGGAGGGCUUGAGUGUCGGAGAGGGUAGUGGAAUUCCCAGUGUAGCGGUGAAAUGCGUAGAUAUUGGGAGGAACACCAGUGGCGAAGGCGACUACCUGGACGAUAACUGACGCUGAGGCACGAAAGCUAGGGGAGUAAACAGGAUUAGACACCCUGGUAGUCCUAGCCGUAAACGAUGGGUACUAGGUGUGGGUGGUUUCGAUACCAUCCGUGCCGUAGUUAACGCAUUAAGUACCCCGCCUGGGGAGUACGUGCGCAAGCAUGAAACUCAAAGAAAUUGGCGG